rnacentral:lncRNA from 1 species
CUUCCCAACCUCCAUGAAAGCUUGAUAAAGAAAGCUCCACAACCUUCCUCAAAUAGCUCCAAAUUUCAUGCUUUUGGUGCACCCUUUCCAUAAACCCUUGUGCUCUUCCAUUCUCUCACUUUAAAACCCUUGAAAAAUCUUAUUUCCAUACUUUCUCUCACUAGUUAGGUGCUUUAGAGAGAGAAAGAGGAAGCUUCAAAAAUAGCUUGAAAGUUUUGGAAAGAAUUUCAAAUACAAGCUACCAAGGUGAGUAGUACACUAGAAUUGAGUUUUGGUGUUGAUAAUGAUUAGUGUUUAGAUUUGGGGGUGAAUUGUUAGUUGGGGUUGUUAAUUCAUUUUAGAGUGAUAAGGGUAGUGAGAAUAGAUAGCCAUUUAAAUGGCCAUUGAAAGCUAGCUAAGAGAAAGCUUUUAGAAUUUAUAAGUAUGUGGCUUGAAUUAAUGGUGAUACUAAUGUGAUAAUAGGUUCCAACGAAGCCCCAUCACCCCAUUUGGACAAUUAGAGAAGUAGAGUUGACAAAAGGUUCAACGAAAUAUCGGUGAGUGGACUUGCAUUUCAAACUUGUUUUGGGGAAUGUGAAUGAUUUUAUCCAACUUGUCUUUGAAAAUGUGUGCCAGGGAACAAGCCUUGAUUAAAUGUUUUUGAUAUUGUGAAAUGGGAGACGUGUCUAAGGAUGAAUCCAUAUGGUUAUUAUUAUGUUGGUAUGUAAGUAUAUAUCUUAUGAAUAUGUGCUACGUAUUGAUGAAUGAUGUUAGGUGGUGAUGUUGAGGUGUGCAAGUAGGGAGUGCACACAUGACAAUGAUAGAGUGUGCGAGUAGGGAGUGCACACAUGACGAUGAUGGAGUGUGUGAGUAAGGUAUGCACACAUGAUGAUGAUGUAUGUAUAUGUAAAUGUGUCUGUUAUAGAAAGGUCAUAAUAUGGUAUAUGGUUGAAAUGCCUAUGAAUUUGGCAUGUUGAACUUUGGAAAUCUUUAUGUGUUUUAUGUUGAUUUUGUCAUUUCAACAGGAUG